rnacentral:rRNA from 1 species
CCUACGGGAGGCAGCAGUGGGGAAUAUUGCACAAUGGGGGGAACCCUGAUGCAGCGACGCCGCGUGAGUGAAGAAGUCUUUCGGUAUGUAAAGCUCUAUCAGCAGGGAAGAAAAUGACGGUACCUGACUACGAAUCCCCGGCUAACUACGAGCCAGCAGCCGCGGUAAUACGUAGGGGGCAAGCGUUAUCCGGAUUUACUGGGUGUAAAGGGAGCGCAGACGGCUGUGCAAGUCUGGAGUGAAAGGCGGGGGCCCAACCCCCGGACUGCUCUGGAAACUGUAAAGCUGGAGUGCAGGAGAGGUAAGCGGAAUUCCUAGUGUAGCGGUGAAAUGCGUAGAUAUUAGGAGGAACACCAGUGGCGAAGGCGGCUUACUGGACUGCAACUGACGUUGAGGCUCGAAAGCGUGGGGAGCAAACAGGAUUAGAUACCCUGGUAGUC